GAUGAACGCUGGCGGCGUGCCUAAUACAUGCAAGUCGAGCGAACAGACGAGGAGCUUGCUCCUCUGACGUUAGCGGCGGACGGGUGAGUAACACGUGGAUAACCUACCUAUAAGACUGGGAUAACUUCGGGAAACCGGAGCUAAUACCGGAUAAUAUAUUGAACCGCAUGGUUCAAUAGUGAAAGACGGUUUUGCUGUCACUUAUAGAUGGAUCCGCGCCGCAUUAGCUAGUUGGUAAGGUAACGGCUUACCAAGGCAACGAUGCGUAGCCAACCUGAGAGGGUGAUCGGCCACACUGGAACUGAGACACGGUCCAGACUCCUACGGGAGGCAGCAGUAAGGAAUCUUCCGCAAUGGGCGAAAGCCUGACGGAGCAACGCCGCGUGAGUGAUGAAGGUCUUCGGAUCGUAAAACUCUGUUAUUAGGGAAGAACAAAUGUGUAAGUAACUAUGCACGUCUUGACGGUACCUAAUCAGAAAGCCACGGCUAACUACGUG
rnacentral:rRNA from 1 species